rnacentral:rRNA from 1 species
AGAGUUUGAUCCUGGCUCAGGACGAACGCUGGCGGCGUGCCUAAUACAUGCAAGUCGAACGAAGCUUUCUUUCACCGAAUGCUUGCAUUCACCGAAAGAAGCUUAGUGGCGAACGGGUGAGUAACACGUAGGCAACCUGCCCAAAAGAGGGGGAUAACACUUGGAAACAGGUGCUAAUACCGCAUAACCAUGAACACCGCAUGAUGUUCAUGUAAAAGACGGCUUUUGCUGUCGCUUUUGGAUGGGCCUGCGGCGUAUUAACUUGUUGGUGGGGUAACGGCCUACCAAGGUGAUGAUACGUAGCCGAACUGAGAGGUUGAUCGGCCACAUUGGGACUGAGACACGGCCCAAACUCCUACGGGAGGCAGCAGUAGGGAAUCUUCCACAAUGGACGAAAGUCUGAUGGAGCAACGCCGCGUGAAUGAAGAAGGCCUUCGGGUCGUAAAAUUCUGUUGUCAGAGAAGAACGUGCGUGAGAGUAACUGUUCACGUAUUGACGGUAUCUGACCAGAAAGCCACGGCUAACUACGUGCCAGCAGCCGCGGUAAUACGUAGGUGGCGAGCGUUGUCCGGAUUUAUUGGGCGUAAAGGGAACGCAGGCGGUCUUUUAAGUCUGAUGUGAAAGCCUUCGGCUUAACCGAAGUAGUGCAUUGGAAACUGGAAGACUUGAGUGCAGAAGAGGAGAGUGGAACUCCAUGUGUAGCGGUGAAAUGCGUAGAUAUAUGGAAGAACACCAGUGGCGAAAGCGGCUCUCUGGUCUGUAACUGACGCUGAGGUUCGAAAGCGUGGGUAGCAAACAGGAUUAGAUACCCUGGUAGUCCACGCCGUAAACGAUGAUUACUAGGUGUGGGGGGACUGACCCCUUCCGUGCCGCAGCAAACGCAAUAAGUAAUCCACCUGGGGAGUACGACCGCAAGGUUGAAACUCAAAGGAAUUGACGGGGGCC